CCUACGGGGGGCUGCAGUGGGGAAUAUUGGACAAUGGGGGGAACCCUGAUCCAGCCAUGCCGCGUGUGUGAAGAAGGCCCUCGGGUUGUAAAGCACUUUCAGUGAGGAAGAACGCCUGGUGGUUAAUACCCAUCAGGAAAGACAUCACUCACAGAAGAAGCACCGGCUAACUCCGUGCCAGCAGCCGCGGUAAUACGGAGGGUGCGAGCGUUAAUCGGAAUUACUGGGCGUAAAGCGCGCGUAGGUGGCUUGAUAAGCCGGUUGUGAAAGCCCCGGGCUCAACCUGGGAACGGCAUCCGGAACUGUCAAGAUAGAGUCCAGGAGAGGAAGGUAGAAUUCCCGGUGUAGCGGUGAAAUGCGUAGAGAUCGGGAGGAAUACCAGUGGCGAAGGCGGCCUUCUGGACUGACACUGACACUGAGGUGCGAAAGCGUGGGUAGCAAACAGGAUUAGAUACCCCGGUAGUC
rnacentral:rRNA from 1 species